GAAAAAUUGUGCAGAGCCUUCAGUUCACGCACAGCCCCCCAUUCUUCUUCCUCUGUUCUUCUUUUCUCCUUUGUUCUUCCUUUUGCCCGAGUGAGAGAGAGUGAUGCGAGAGAGUGAGGGACGAGAUAGAGAUGAGAGACUGAGAGAGAUUCAGGGAGAUUGAGGGAGAGAUCGGGAGGAUCCGAGAGAGAGAAACAGAGAAAGGGAGACGGAGAUUGAGAAAGAGAGAAAGGGGAGUUUGAGAGAGUGAGUUCGAGAGAGAGAGUGAUGCUGUCAGUGAGGGGUGCGAACCGGAGAAGAAGAAAAACCCAGGGACCGUGCAACCCAACUGAACCCGAUUCACCCGAAUCCCGACGGGUCUGGCAGACGCGAAACAGAGAGGGAGUGCCGAGGGAGAUUCGGCCGUUCAGGGAUCCUCCGACGGAGCUACGUGGCUGAUCCUCCAGUAUCAAAUUUCGACGAGUUCUCCGACAGUCCCGGUAUGGAUUUCCGGCGAAAACAGUGACGAUUUUCUGUGGUUCUUGAGCUCUAUUUUAUUAGGAUCAUGUUCGGAUUGGAGGCUUUAAUUGGUUCUCCAAUGUAGAGUCCAAGUGACUAGAGUUCAAGGGAGUGUUCGAGUUGAAGUCCAAUGCAGCCAAGAUGAUGUUUCUUUGGCUGCAGGUACUUCGGUAUAGUCGAUGGGUCGGUAGCAGUAUGCUUGGGAUAUUAUGACUGAAGCUCGUCGCAACAGUUGUAAUUGUCGGACCACGGGUUGUCCACUAUUUCACAGGUUUGGUAUGGCUUGUGACAUUUGUGUCACUUAUUCUUUGUUAAGCCAUUAUUGUUAUGUAAAUAUUGUGUUAAUAAGACUCAAACAGAUAGAUGUUAAAUGGCUCAAUGCUGUAAUUAAUUUGUGAUAGAUGUAUGAGUUGUAAUUUCCGCUAUUUA